AACGAACGCUGGCGGCAUGCCUAACACAUGCAAGUCGAACGAGAUCUUCGGAUCUAGUGGCGCACGGGUGCGUAACGCGUGGGAAUCUGCCCUUUGCUUCGGAAUAACAGUGAGAAAUUACUGCUAAUACCGGAUGAUGUCUUCGGACCAAAGAUUUAUCGGCAAAGGAUGAGCCCGCGUAGGAUUAGGUAGUUGGUGGGGUAAUGGCCUACCAAGCCGACGAUCCUUAGCUGGUCUGAGAGGAUGAUCAGCCACACUGGGACUGAGACACGGCCCAGACUCCUACGGGAGGCAGCAGUGGGGAAUAUUGGACAAUGGGGGAAACCCUGAUCCAGCAAUGCCGCGUGAGUGAUGAAGGCCUUAGGGUUGUAAAGCUCUUUUACCAGGGAUGAUAAUGACAGUACCUGGAGAAUAAGCUCCGGCUAACUCCGU
rnacentral:rRNA from 1 species